UCGAGAAUCUUCCGCAAUGGACGAAAGUCUGACGGAGCGACGCCGCGUGAUGGAUGAAGUCCCUCUGGGACGUAAACAUCUUUUAUGAGGGAGAAAGUUUAUUGAUAGUACCUCACGAAUAAGGGGUUGCUAAACUCGUGCCAGCAGCAGAGGUAAUACGAGUGCCCCGAGCGUUAUCCGGAAUCAUUGGGCGUAAAGGGUGUGUAGGUGGCAUUGUUAGUCACACGUUAAACCCUGGGGCUUAACCCCAGAUCUGCGUGUGAUACGGCAAAGCUAGAGGAUGGCAGGGAUGUAUGGAACUCAUGGAGUAGGGGUGAAAUCCGUUGAUAUCAUGGGGAACACCGAAAGCGAAGGCAGUACAUUGGGCCACUCCUGACACUGAAACACGAAAGCGUGGGUAGCGAAUGGGAUUAGAUACCCCCGUAGUCCCUGAGCGGGCUGGCAAGGCGCAU
rnacentral:rRNA from 1 species